UACGUAGGGUGCGAGCGUUAAUCGGAAUUACUGGGCGUAAAGCGUGCGCAGGCGGCUUUGCAAGACAGAUGUGAAAUCCCCGGGCUCAACCUGGGAACUGCAUUUGUGACUGCAAGGCUAGAGUACGGCAGAGGGGGAUGGAAUUCCGCGUGUAGCAGUGAAAUGCGUAGAUAUGCGGAGGAACACCAAUGGCGAAGGCAAUCCCCUGGGCCUGUAACGACG
rnacentral:rRNA from 1 species